rnacentral:rRNA from 1 species
GUGCCAGCAGCCGCGGUAAUUCCAGCUCCAAUAGCGUAUAUUAAAGUUGUUGUGGUUAAAAAGCUCGUAGUUGAACCUUGGGCCUGGCUGGCCGGUCCGCCUCACCGCGUGCACUGGUCCGGCCGGGCCUUUCCCUCUGUGGAACCCCAUACCCUUCACUGGGCGUGGCGGGGAAACAGGACAUUUACUUUGAAAAAAUUAGAGUGCUCCAGGCAGGCCUAUGCUCGAAUACAUUAGCAUGGAAUAAUAAAAUAGGACGCGCGGUUCUAUUUUGUUGGUUUAUAGGACCGCCGUAAUGAUUAAUAGGGACAGUCGGGGGCAUCAGUAUUCAACUGUCAGAGGUGAAAUUCUUGGAUCAGUUGAAGACUAACUACUGCGAAAGCAUUUGCCAAGGAUGUUUUCAUUAAUCAGGAACGAAAGUUAGGGGAUCGAAGACGAUCAGAUACCGUCGUAGUCUUAACCAUAAACUAUGCCGACUAGGGAUCGGACGGUGUUAUUCAUGACCCGUUCGGCACCUUACGAGAAAUCAAAGUGCUGGGCUCCAGGGGGAGUAUGGUCGCAAGGCUGAAACUUAAAGAAAUUGACGGAAGGGCACCACCAGGGGUGGAGCCUGCGGCUUAAUUUGACUCAACACGGGGAAACUCACCAGGUCCAGACACAAUAAGGAUUGACAGAUUGAGAGCUCUUUCUUGAUUUUGUGGUGGUGGUGCAUGGCCGUUCUUAGUUGGUGGGGUGACUUGUCUGCUUAAUUGCGAUAACGAACGAGACCUUAACCUGCUAAAUAGCCCGCAUUGCUCCGGCAGUGCGCUGGCUUCUUAGAGGGACUUUCGGCUCAAGCCGAAGGAAGUUUGAGGCAAUAACAGGGUCUGUGAUGG